GCAGCAGUGCCCUACUGGCUAGGGCUUCGGGCUUGUAACCGGAGGGUUGCCGGUUCAAUCCCUGACCCAGUAGGA
rnacentral:tRNA from 1 species